GUUGAACGCUGGCGGCGUGCCUAAUACAUGCAAGUCGAGCGAACGGACGAGAAGCUUGCUUCUCUGAUGUUAGCGGCGGACGGGUGAGUAACACGUGGAUACCCUACCUAUAAGACUGGGAUAACUUCGGGAAACCGGAGAUAAUACCGGAUAAUAUUUUGAACCGCAUGGUUCAUCAGUGAACGACGGUCUUGCUGUCACUUAUAGAUGGUUCCGCGUUGCAUUAGCUAGUUGGUACGGUAACGGCUUACCAAGGCAACGAUGCAUAGCCGACCUGAGAGGAUGAUCAGCCACACUGGAACUGAGACACGGUCCAGACUCCUACGGGAGGCAGCAGUAGGGAAUCUUCCACAAUGGGCGAAAGCCUGACGGAGCAACGCCGCGUGAGUGAUGAAGGUCUUCGGAUCGUAAAACUCUGUUAUUAGGGAGGAACAUAUGUAUAAGAAACUGUGCACAUCUUGACGGUACCUAAUCAGAAAGCCACGGCUAACUACGUG
rnacentral:rRNA from 1 species